CCCUUAAACUAGAACAGCAGCACCGCCUCCUCUCUGGUUCUUCAGUUCCACAACACUCAGGCAUGAACAGCAGCACCGGCUCUUCCUUGGGUCUCCAGCUUCACUACCCUCAGACUAGAACAGCAACACUUGUUCCUCCCUGGAUCUCCAGCUCAAUGACUCCCAGACUUGAAAGGCAGCACCAACUCCUCCAUGGAUCUCCAGCUCCAUGACACUCAAAACAACAUGGCUCCUCCCUGGGUCUGCAGCUCCAGGACCCUCGAACUACAACAACAUUGUUCCUCCCUGGGUCUGCGGCUCCAUGAUCCUCAAACUCGAACAAGACCUCUCCUCCCUGGGUCUCCAGCUUCCGGACCCUCAAAUUACAACAACAUUGCUCCUGCCUGGGUCUGCAGCUCCACGACCCUCAAAUAAGAACAAGACCUCUCCUCCCUGGGUCUCCAGCUUCCUGACCCUCGAACUACAACAACAUUGCUCCUGCCUGGGUCUGUAGCUCGACAACCCUCAAACUAGAACAAGACCUCUCCUCCCUGGGUCUCCAGCUUCCGGACCCUCGAAUUACAACAACAAUGCUCCUGCCUGGGUCUGCAGCUCCAUUACCCUCAAAUAACAACAAGACCUCUCCUCCCUGGGUCGCCAGCUUCCGGACUCGAACUACAACACUGCUCCUCCCUGGAUCUGUAGCUCGACGACCCUUAGCUAGAACAAGACCUCUUUUCCCUGGUUUGCCAGCUUCCGGACCCUCAAACUAAAACAACAUUGCUCCUGCCUGGGUCUGCAGCUCCACGACCCUCAAUCUCAAACAAGACCUCUCCUCCCUGCGUCGUCAGCUUCUGGACCCUCAAAUUACAACAACCCUGAAACUAGAACAAGACCUCUCCUCCCUGGGUCUGCAGCUCCACCACCCUCACCCUAGAACAGCAGCACCAGCUCCUUCCUGGACCUCCAGCUCAAUGACUCUCAGACUUCAAAGGCAGCACCAGCUCCACCCCCAGGCUCCAGCUCCAACACCCUCAGAUUUGAGCAGCGACAACACCAGCUCCUUUCUGGGUCUUCUGUUUCACGAUCCUUAAAUUAGAACAGCAGCACCAUCUUCUCCCUGGGUCUCCAGCUCCAUGAGACUCAAGCUAGAAUAGCAGCACCAGCUCCUCUUGGAUCUUCAGCUCCACGACCCUAAGACAUCAGUGGUAGCACCGGCUCCUCCCCUGGGCUCCAGCUCCAGGACCCUCAGACUUGAACAAAAACACCAGCUCCUCCCCAGGCCUCCAGCUCCUUGACCCUCAUAAACAAUCCCUUCUUAUGAAAUGUAGCAGUCAGGAAAAC
rnacentral:lncRNA from 10 species